rnacentral:lncRNA from 1 species
AUGGAGAAAAUUAUGGCUCAGAUUGAAAGGGGAGAGGCAAGAAUUCAAAGAAGAAUAUCAAAAAAAGCACUUGAUACAAAGGUUGAUCCCUGGUACUGGCUAAAAAACAGACCUGAGGACCAUUGGCACAGACUGGAAGAAACAGCCACAAUCAAAAACAUACUCAGCCACCUAAUCUUUGAUAAAGGGACCAAACAAACUCACUGUAAGAAUGUUAGCAUCUUUCAUAAAUGGAAAAAUUGGCUUAAUACCUGCCAAAGACUGAAAAUAGACCCACAUCUAUCACCAUGCACCAGACUCAAGUCAAGAUGGUUCACAGAUCUCAAUAUUAAACCAGAAACACUAAAUCUAUUGGAAGAGAAAGUAGGUAAAAACCUGGAAGACACAGGGAUAGGCAGAGAGUUCAUGAACAGAAACCAAACUGCCCAUGAAACACUUCAAAGAAUCAACAACUGGGAUCUCAUCCUAUGGAAAAGUUUCUGCACAUCCAAAGGAAUCACCAGCAGAGUAAAAAGAAAACACACAAACUUGGAAAAAAUUUUAACUGAUUGUCCCUCUGACAAAGGACUUCGAUCUAGAACAUAUAAAGAAUUAAAAAAUAUCAGCCCCUCCAAAUUCAAAGACCCAAUCCAAAAAUGGACAGCUGAGAUGAAUACACACUUCUCAGAUAAGGAAAAACAAAUGGCAAAUAAAUACAUGAGAAAAUGUUCAAUAUCAUUAGUCAUUUGAGAAAUGCAAAUUAAAACAACGUUGAGAUUCCAUCUCAUCCCAGUGAGAAUGGCUAGCAUUAAGAAAUCAACCAAUAACAAAUGCUUGCAAUGCUGUGGAGAAAUAGGAACUCUUCACUGCUGGUGGGAAUGCAGACUGCUGAAACCACUGUGGAAAUCAGUUUGGAGGUUCCUCAGAAAGCUAGGUCUAGGGGUCCCAUUCAACCCAGCUAUUCCCCUUCUGGGUAUUUUCACAUAAGAUCUAAAAACAUCAUAUCACAGCGAUAUAUGUGCACCUAUGUUGAUAGCAGCACAAUUUGUAAUUGCUAAAUUGUGGAAGCAGCCCAAAUGUCCAUCCACUGAGGAUUGGAUAAAAAUAAAUUGUGGUACUUUUAUAUAAUGGAAAAUUACUCAGUUAUAAAGAAAGAUAAACUUGAAGCUUUUAUAGGUAAAUGGUCACAACUAGAGACCAUACUCAUAAGUGAAAUAAAUCAGACCUGCAUGUGCAAGCACUGCAUUGUCUCACUAGUGUGAAACCUGAAAGAGUGAAUAAAAACUAGGAGGUAUGAUAGACAUUGUGAAACAAAAGGAAUAUGCUCAAGGGUAAAGGGCAACUGGGAUGUGGGAAAAGUGAAGGGAAAGAAGGGAAAUUUUGUAUGUAUGUAUAUACAGGAUAGUUAACAUAGUUGAACUACUACCUUCUACUUUUUUGCUGAAAGAAAUUGUCAAUGAGUCCUUGAUGCAUCAAUAUUGCAUGUCUCUAUCUGCUUUCAUGAGAAAUCACUUUGAAGAUAUCAAUAUGUAAUAUAACAAGCAUUGUUAAUUUCCUACCACUUUGUUUGUAACUCUGUAUUGUUUGUAUUGUUCUUUUACUCUUUUGUAAAUGGUUGUCUGUUUGUUAAUGUUUUCCUUCUUUUAUUUUUAAAAUAAAAAAUAAAUAAAU